rnacentral:rRNA from 1 species
CCUAGGGGAGUCAGCAGUAGGGAAUAUUGCUCAAUGGGGGAAACCCUGAAGCAGCAACGCCGCGUGGAGGAUGCAGGUUUUAGGAUUGUACACUCCUUUUGUUAGAGAAGAUUAUGACGGUAACUAACGAAUAAGCACCGGCUAACUCGGUGACAGCAGCCGCGGUAAUACGGAGGGUGCAAGCGUUACUCGGAAUCACGGGGCGUAAGGGGUGCGUAGUCGGGGUAAUAAGUCAGAUGUGAAAUCCUGUGGCUUAACUACAGAACUGCCUUGUAAACUGUUACUCUGGAGUGUGGGAAAGGUAGGUGGAAUUCUUGGUGUAGGGGUAAAAGCCGUAGAGAUCAAGAAGAAUACUCAUUGCGAAGGCGACCUGCUGGAACAUUACUGACGCUGAUGCACGAAAGCGUGGGUAGCAAACAGGAUUAGAUACCCGAGUAGGC